GACGUAGGGGGCAAGCGUUGUUCGGAAUUAUUGGGCGUAAAGCGCUCGUAGGCGGGACUGGAAGUCCGUGUUGAAAGACCUCGGCUCAACUGAGGGACCGGCUCGGAUACUCUAGUUCUUGAGGCAAUCAGAGGGUGAUGGAAUUCCCGGUGUAGCGGUGAAAUGCAUAGAUAUCGGGAGGAACACCAGUGGCGAAGGCGAUCACCUGGGGUUGUUCUGACGCUGAGGAGCGAAAGCUAGGGGAGCAAACGGG
rnacentral:rRNA from 1 species